rnacentral:rRNA from 1 species
CCCUUAGAUGUUCUGGGCCGCACGCGCGCUACACUGACGGAGGCAGCGAGCAUGUCCUUCGCCGAGAGGUGUGGGGAAUCUUGUGAGUCUCCGUCGUGCUGGGGAUAGAUGGUUGCAAUUGUCGAUCUUGAACGAGGAAUUCCUAGUAAGCGCGAGUCAUCAGCUUGCGUCGAUUACGUCCCUGCCCUUUGUACACACCGCCCGUCGCUCCUACCGAUUGGGUGUGCUGGUGAAAUGUUCGGAUCGGCCGUUUGUCGCGGUUUCCGCGUCAUGUGGCUGAGAAGUUCAUUAAACCCUCCCACCUAGAGGAAGGAGAAGUCGUAACA